UACGGGGGGGGCAAGCGUUGUUCGGAAUUAUUGGGCGUAAAGGGCUCGUAGGCGGUUUGUCGCGUCGGGAGUGAAAACCCAGGGCUUAACCCUGGGCUGGCUUCCGAUACGGGCAGACUAGAGGUAUGCAGGGGAGAACGGAAUUCCUGGUGUAGCGGUGAAAUGCGCAGAUAUCAGGAGGAACACCGGUGGCGAAGGCGGGUCUCUGGGCCGAUACUGACGCUGAGGAGCGAAAGCGUGGGGAGCGAACAGG
rnacentral:rRNA from 1 species